CCAAAGGUUUUCUUAAAAUCCACAAACGUUGUUAUACAUAAUCAGU
rfam:Xiphophorus maculatus strain JP 163 A Contig249.19, whole genome shotgun sequence.